rnacentral:rRNA from 1 species
AUGGAUUUCGCGAUUCUGAAUUGGAAUGUCCGGGGCCUGAACAAUCCAGCAAAGAGGAGAGCUGUGCAAAUUUUUGUGGCUGAGUUGAAUUGCAACAUGAUAUGUUUACAGGAAACUAAAAUUAGGGACGUGUCCAGGAGCUUGGUGCUAGAAAUUUUGGGGCCAAGAUUUGCUGAUAAUUUCAUCAGUUUACCUGCCACUGGCUCUCGGGGAGGGAUUCUC